rnacentral:rRNA from 1 species
AUUGAACGCUGGCGGCAGGCCUAACACACGCAAGUCGAGCGGAUGAAGGGAGCUUGCUCCUGGAUUCAGCGGCGGACGGGUGAGUAAUGCCUAGGAAUCUGCCUGGUAGUGGGGGAUAACGUCCGGAAACGGGCGCUAAUACCGCAUACGUCCUGAGGGAGAAAGUGGGGGAUCUUCGGACCUCACGCUAUCAGAUGAGCCUAGGUCGGAUUAACUAGUUGGUGGGGUAAAGGCCUACCAAGGCGACGAUCCGUAACUGGUCUGAGAGGAUGAUCAGUCACACUGGAACUGAGACACGGUCCAGACUCCUACGGGAGGCAGCAGUGGGGAAUAUUGGACAAUGGGCGAAAGCCUGAUCCAGCCAUGCCGCGUGUGUGAAGAAGGUCUUCGGAUUGUAAAGCACUUUAAGUUGGGAGGAAGGGCAGUAAGUUAAUACCUUGCUGUUUUGACGUUACCAACAGAAUAAGCACCGGCUAACUUCGUG